rnacentral:rRNA from 1 species
UACGAAGGGGGCUAGCGUUGCUCGGAAUCACUGGGCGUAAAGGGUGCGUAGGCGGGUCUUUAAGCCAGGGGUGAAAUCCUGGAGCUCAACUCCAGAACUGCCUUUGAUACUGAGGAUCUUGAGUACGGGAGAGGUGAGUGGAACUGCGAGUGUAGAGGUGAAAUUCGUAGAUAUUCGCAAGAACACCAGUGGCGAAGGCGGCUCACUGGCCCGUUACUGACGCUGAGGCACGAAAGCGUGGGGAGCAAACAGG